rnacentral:rRNA from 1 species
AGAGUUUGAUCCUGGCUCAGGAUGAACGCUGGCGGCGUGCUUAACACAUGCAAGUCGAACGGAAAGCCCCUUCGGGGGAAUUCGAGUGGCGAACGGGUGAGUAACACGUGGGCAAUCUGCCCCUCACUCCGGGAUAACUCAGGGAAACUUGAGCUAAUACCGGAUAUGCCGGUAGGACCUCAUGGUCCAGCCGGGAAAGCUCCGACGGUGAGGGAUGAGCCCGCGGCCCAUUAGCUUGUUGGUGAGGUAACGGCCCACCAAGGCGACGAUGGGUAGCCGAGCUGAGAGGCUGAUCGGCCACACUGGGACUGAGACACGGCCCAGACUCCUACGGGAGGCAGCAGUGGGGAAUCUUGCGCAAUGGGCGAAAGCCUGACGCAGCAACGCCGCGUGCGGGAUGAAGGCCUUCGGGUCGUAAACCGCUUUCAGCAGGGAUGAAACUGACAGUACCUGCAGAAGAAGCCCCGGCUAAAUACGUGCCAGCAGCCGCGGUAAUACGUAUGGGGCGAGCGUUAUCCGGAUUCAUUGGGCGUAAAGAGCGCGUAGGCGGCUUGUUAAGCGAGAUGUGAAAACCGGGGGCUUAACCCGCGGCCUGCAUCUCGAACUGGCAGGCUUGAGUCUGGUAGAGGAGUGUGGAAUUCCCAGUGUAGCGGUGAAAUGCGCAGAUAUUGGGAGGAACACCAGUGGCGAAGGCGGCACUCUGGGCCACGACUGACGCUGAGGCGCGAAAGCUAGGGGAGCGAACAGGAUUAGAUACCCUGGUAGUCC